GCGCCGAGGCGGCGGCCGCCCCGGCCAGCCCGCAGCGCAUCCAGCUGCUGCUCACCGAGCUGGACGUGCGCACGGUCGAGAUCAACGGCGAGACGGCCCAGGUGCUGGUGCUGCCCUCCGACGGCGACCGGCCGCAGGAGUCGGGCGAGACUGCCGACCUGCACCUGCUGGGCUGCGCCGAGGCGCUGGUGGUGGAGGCCGACGAGUCGCCCGGCUCGGGCGACGCCCCCUCGCCGGCGCUCUCCGCCGAUGACCCGGACCCGCUCUCGGUGGUGGUGGAGGAGCAGGCAUGAGCCGCCCCGCCGGCGGAGGAGGCAGGACUGGAGUGACGCGGUUGCGGCGCUGAGCACGCACUCCGCUUCGGUCGUGGUGUAGGAGGGCGUGUGACCCGAGGCGGCCCUCGUGCCGGGCGGGAGGCGCGGGCGCUGCUGUAAAAUGGUGAGGUGUUGUGUGGUGUGGUGUCGUAGCCCGGUGGCUAGGAGAACGCAGUCUGGACGCCUCGUGGCACGUGGGGUGGGGUGCCGUGAACGGGUGGCUAGGAGGACACAGUCUGGACGCCUCGUGGCACGUGGGGUGGGGUGCCGUGAACGGGUGGCUAGGGGAACACAGUCUGGACGCCUCGUGGCACUUGGGGUGGGGUGUCUUGGCCCGGGGGUAAGAGGAGCGGAGUCUGAACGCCUCUUGGCGCGCAUCGCCGGUGGUGGAGCUGCGAUUGAGCUGUGUAAGAGGAGGGAGGCGGUUGCCCUGAGUGCGUGCAACGCCGGUGAGCGAUAGUUGACGCUAUAUGGCGUUUUAUCCACUCUGGCGCCGCGUCGAGCAGUCGAGUUCUGGAUGGUGGCCUCAAGCGGGUUUAGCACCGUAGUCUAGGCCGUUUAUGUAGCGGAACGUGCUGUGCGUUCCCCCCCCCCCCCUUUGUUGCGGUGUCGUCACGUAGCUUACUUCGUGUUGCCAUGGAUGACGAUCAUGAUGGUGAUGACGCCCAGUGGCUCAGUUCUGCUUUUGCUCGGUACGUAAUCUCUGUUUGUGUGAGUGUGGCUUAUGCUUUGGAGUGUGAGACCAGUUUGGCUGCGGUGUUACAUUUACCAAAGAGUCGUUGCAGUGGGUCGUAGAUGGAUCGUUUUUUACGAAUUGGCGUGUUUGCACUCGGCCUAUCGUAUGUCGGCGAUCGUCAGGUUCUACUCCAUGGGCGUUGGUCAGGCGACGCCUGUUGAUUCCCAGUCAGGUGAUGGAGACCGCUCCGAUCGAAACAUGUAUGGGUAGAUUUACUCCCCAUGGCCAGAUCUGCUUGGCGUCCGUGUUUCAAUUGAACUGCAAGCAAGGGGCUGGACAGACCAGUGCUGGUGCUAUCAUGGCAAAUGGCACAAAUAAUCCUGCGCAUAGUGUUGCUAGGGUUGGAUCAAGCCGUCUUAUGUUUCUGGGCUGUGCUAUUGCUUCCUAGCUUCUAAAUGAUGUCUCCAACACGGCUUAUGGCGGUGCUGAUCAGGUGAACAGUUCAAUUUUACAGCGGUUUUGGAGCAGCCUGGGAUAGGUGCUGCCAUCUUUUGGGCCAUAGCACUAUUUAUAUUUCCCAUAACCCUCGCCGAUGCCCUUCCUUUGCCUGGCCGGUCAUUGGUCGCUGCUCCGUGGUUGCAAUAGAGAUAAAUGUGAAACGUGAGUAAAAGACAACGCAUAUUGUCUCACAACUUAUGGUAUGAAUAUUGGGCUAAGCUACGUGGCAUGGAUUGUCAAUAAAAGCCCGGAACAUCGUGUACCAGUUAAUGCCGUUCCAUCAAGUGCUGCCAGUGAGCAACCAGCCCGGUUGUGUUUAUUUCAGUGUGUCCGAAUGGACUGGUGACCCGGCGAUAUAUGGCUGAACCGUCAAAGCGCGCAAAAUUGACCAUAAUGCCACAAGCUCCUGUGUUUCAGUGGUCCACGGGACUACAAGCCAGCAUUUUCACAGGCGCAUCGAUUAAUUACGUGUUCAAUCUUCCUCGACUAAAAAACAUGAUAAAUGGAGAGUAUGCUCCCAAGCGGUUUUGCGAUGAUACCAAAAUUUCCGUUGUAUGGAAGUUGCAAGCACUAUAAUACAUGUAAUGUGUCCGUC